UGGGGAAUUUUGGACAAUGGGCGAAAGCCUGAUCCAGCAAUGCCGCGUGUGUGAAGAAGGCCUUCGGGUUGUAAAGCACUUUUGUCCGGAAAGAAAUCCUUGGCUCUAAUACAGUCGGGGGAUGACGGUACCGGAAGAAUAAGCACCGGCUAACUACGUGCCAGCAGCCGCGGUAAUACGUAGGGUGCAAGCGUUAAUCGGAAUUGCUGGGCGUAAAGCGUGCGCAGGCGGUUUGCUAAGACCGAUGUGAAAUCCCCGGGCUCAACCUGGGGAAACUGCAUUGGUGACUGGCAGGCUAGAGUAUGGCAGAGGGGGGUAGAAUUCCACGUGUAGCAGUGAAAUGCGUAGAGAUGUGGAGGAAUACCGAUGGCGAAGGCAGCCCCCUGGGCCAAUACUGACGCUCAUGCACGAAAAGCGUGGGGAGCAAACAGGAUUAGAUACCCUGGUAGUCCACGCCCUAAAACGAUGUCAACUAGUUGUUGGGGAUUCAUUUUCCUUAGUAAACGUAGCUAACGCGUGAAGUUGACCGCCUGGGGAGUACGGUCGCAAGAUUAAAAACUCAAAGAAUUGACGGGGUCAUAGCUGUUUCCU
rnacentral:rRNA from 1 species